rnacentral:lncRNA from 1 species
GCGGGUCGCUGCUUGGCUGUGGGUUAGCAGCACCCUGAGCGGAGCGGAAGAGCUGCCCGCCGCCGCGUAACCCCGAGGCCGAGACUCCUGGCCUGGCCUCCUUGGGCCCACGACGCCUGCCCCGCGGAGCGGACCCAUGGGCCUGAGGUUUGUGUGCGGGGCCUCAGGCGAGCGCUGGCGCAGCCUGUCCCCCAUCGUCUGCGCCCUGCGGGCCUGGCCCUCCCCGUGGAAGGACCGCGGGCUUCGGGGCCCCACGCUGGGGGGCUGACUCCUGCCACACACACAGCGGUGGCCGCGGGCCUGGGGCGGCAGCACAGCCAUUCUGCUCGGGCUGCGUGAGCUGACCCCGCUCUCUGUGCACCUACUUUUGCUGCGUUUGGUGCUGAGCCUGAAGUCCCAGGACAGGCGGCUGAGGGGGAAAGAUGGUGUGAAUUGGGUGGGCAGAGACAACUGAAAGCCACAGGACCCGGUUGGCACCUUUUUGGCCGCCUGCGCCUUUGCCUGCAGCCCCGCUCCCUGGGUCACCCGAAGGAGGAGCUGGCGCUCUUUCCGGGCGCAGAAGCACCCGACCCACGCUGGAGGAAACGGUCCCUCUGGGCAGGAGAAGCUUUGGGCCUGGCUGGAGCACACUCACGGAACCACGCCAACGCCUGGCCUGUAGCCAGCUCCCACCUCCCCUCCCACCUUCUAAAAUGCUUGCGGAUCUCACGUGGCCGACCCUAACCAGAUACACAUGGGGAAAGGAAUCAGGUGGCACACAUACCGCCUUUACUCCAUAGAGAACUUCCAAUUGUGGGUCGGCACAGACGCAACCCAGUCUCCUCCCACCUCCGAGAGUGCAGUGUCCUGAAUGGAGAACCCCAGCACCCAGAAGCAUCCACUGAAGGACUAAAUUCUACACAUGAAGGCAAACGUCCGUGGUUGACAGAAAUUACACUGGCCAGAAUCCCCAGUCCCCAUGAGGCUUGUCCAGACGCAGUGAACCAGUCGCAGCUGAUAACACACAGACCAUUCCCGAUCCCAGAGGUGCAUUUCAGGAUUCAUUCUAUUUCAUCAGAGACGGGGUCUUCCUGUGUUGCCCAGGCUGGUCUCGAACUCCUGGGCUGAAGCAAUCUUCCUGCCUUGGCCUCCCAGAGGGUUGGAAUUGCAGAUGUGAGGUGUGUCCUGGAACCCUGGCUGCACCCACAGAUACAGCCACUCCUGGGCCCAUGUGGAUGUAACCUUCGAGUGCCGGAAUGCCUCGUCUCCAUGGAGACCAAACUCAAGGGCCUGACUGGCCCAGUCUACCGAGACCAUGAGACCUGCUGUGCCCCUCGGCCAGGCCAACCCAAAUUCUUUUAAAUAAAAGGCACAAGCCACA